UGCAGACGGACAGCUCUCUCUAUCUAUCCUGCUCGCCAGACGCCAGGUAGUAAAAGCAGCUUGGGCUGUGUUGGAAAUGGAUCCAUCCCGCCGCCCAAGCUGGGGAGCGAGCGCCCGGAUCUGGACAAGGAGACGCUGGAAAUUCAGCAGGGUCACAUCAUGCGGUGCAUCUCCCUACGCCCGUGCCCACUUGAUUGGGAGGGGGCAGGAAAAAGUGUCAACACCAAACAAAACUAUACACUACUUUUCAUUCAACCUUGCACGUCCAACGGCGACGGGCACAGGCACGUGUGCUCACCACCUACAGCUUCCAUCCACAUGCACCGCCCCCCUUCCUCUGGUACGAGCACGGCAUCUUGCCCAUCCACACACGCACAGAAAUAUCAAACACAAGUGAUGGAGCUGCUAGACUCCCCCCUCCACAUGCACUGUCCCCACUUUCAUCUCCGGACGAGGGCUGCACAGUCAUCAUCACAACAUUGAGAGGCAGAGGCGAAUGAUCUGUCGUCGCAGGGGGCCACAGGUACAGCAUCCAUAAUCAGGCAAUUCCAUUCAUUCAUUUCCUCCCCCCCCCC
rnacentral:misc_RNA from 1 species